rnacentral:rRNA from 1 species
CCUACGGGUGGCAGCAGUGAGGAAUAUUGGUCAAUGGACGAGAGUCUGAACCAGCCAAGUAGCGUGAAGGAUGACUGCCCUAUGGGUUGUACACUUCUUUUAUAUGGGAAUAAAAUGUUCCACGUGUGGGAUUUUGUAUGUACCAUAUGAAUAAGGAUCGGCUAACUCCGUGCUAGCAGCCGCGGUAAUACGGAGGAUCCGAGCGUUAUCCGGAUUGAUUGGGUUUAAAGGGAGCGUAGGUGGAUUGUUAAGUCAGUUGUGAAAGUUUGCGGCUCAACCGUAAAAGUGCAGUUGAAACUGGCAGUCUUGAGUACAGUAGAGGUGGGCGGAAUUCGUGGUGUAGCGGUGAAAUGCUUAGAUAUCACGAAGAACUCCGAUUGCGAAGGCAGCUCACUGGACUGCAACUGACACUGAGGCUCGAAAGUGUGGGUAUCAAACAGGAUUAGAUACCCUGGUAGUC